GACUACUGGGGUAUCUAAGCCCGUUCGCUCCCCUGGCUUUCGUGCCUCAGCGUCAGAAACGGUCCAGAAAGCCGCCUUCGCCACCGGUGUUCUUCCAGAUAUCUGCGCAUUCCACCGCUACACCUGGAAUUCCGCUUUCCUCUCCCGCUCUCUAGCCUAGCAGUUUCCGACGACUUCCGCCCGUUAAGCGGUGCGGGUUUCACGCCAGACUUGCCAAACCGCCUACGCACUCUUUACGCCCAGUAAAUCCGAACAACGCUCGCCCCCUACGUAUUACCGCGGCUGCUGGCACGUAGUUAGCCGGGGCUUCCUUCGCGGGUACCGUCUCUCCCGAAUUCACCAUUCGGGCAUUCUUCCCCGCUGACAGUGGUUUACGAUCGCAAGACCUUCAUCCCACACGCGGCGUCGCUCCAUCAGACUUUCGUCCAUUGUGGAAGCCUCUCGACUGCAGCCCCCCGUAGG
rnacentral:rRNA from 1 species